rnacentral:rRNA from 1 species
UACGGGGGGGGCAAGCGUUGUUCGGAAUUACUGGGCGUAAAGGGCUCGUAGGCGGCCAACUAAGUCAGACGUGAAAUCCCUCGGCUUAACCGGGGAACUGCGUCUGAUACUGGAUGGCUUGAGUUUGGGAGAGGGAUGCGGAAUUCCAGGUGUAGCGGUGAAAUGCGUAGAUAUCUGGAGGAACACCGGGUGGCGAAGGCGGCAUCCUGGACCAACAGUGACGCUGAGGAGCGAA